rnacentral:lncRNA from 1 species
UUUUUGUGAUCUAUAAAUUUCACGCCUAAUAUUCAAACAAGGCCAUAAAUCAAAUUUAGUUUUCACAAAACAACACAAACUCAUUACAAUCACAGCAAUGUUCAGAUACCAAAAAUACAUAUUUACAUAUAUAGCUCAACAAGUAUUACAACCAUUAUUACUACAUCACUUUCUUGGACCCGAUCUGGAAAAAGGAGCCUUUAAACAAAUUACUACACAACUUUGCAUUUUCUUGGAACCGAUCUGGAAAAGUAGCCUCUGAUUUCUCCGUGUAUUCGUUUUGAAAAAGGAGCCUCUGAUUUCUUGGAACCUGCACUAAACAAAGGCAUAAAAAACAAGUUAGCCAGCAUGUGGACAAAUCUGGAUAAGUGAAAAGAAUUAUCAGCUUGGCAAAUAUGGAUGAUAGGCACAACCGCACACAAGUGUAGAUACAAACUAUGGCUAAACUAUUUUAAGUCUUAAGCUGACUAAGCUUCAGGCACUACAGAUAUCUAAACCUACACCUGUUUCGAAUAAGUAAAACAGAGUAAAGUGCGGAAAAAGUUUUCUUUUUACAACUUGUCUAGAUGUAGGCCUUUAGUGUACAUUCAGGAAAUAAAAAAUUAUUGGGAUAGUAGAUCUAGUAAUAACUUCCUGGCAAAAAAUUUACAAGCAUAAACUGCUACACGUUCUUUUAUUUAAGUUGGCAAUAAAAUAUCAAAACUACAUGAGUAAAAACAAAUGCAACAACUGAAGUUUUGAAUAUUAAACACUAAAUAGCACUUUGCUCACAAGAUGCUUCUGAAUAGUCUGAUGUGGAACCACAUGGACAAGCAAUAGAGAAACUUUACAUUUUGGAACUGUAACAGAUAUCAAGAAACGUACACAAGACCAGUGCCUGAAAUAUCAAAUUCCAGAUGAAUACAAGAGCUAUUCAAAGCUAGUUCCUGGAGUUCCUUCCGGACAACAACAUUAGGCCUUGACAAUAAACAGCCAGACAUGUUCUAUUGUAAAUAUAAAAUAUAUAAUUAAAACUUAAUAGAAGGAAGGUGCAUGCAGAGCUUCUGAUAUAUAAAUAGCUGCAAGGGAGUUGGGCAUAAAAUAUACUAUUGCCAUUGACAAGUGUCUGUUCUAAUUUCAAAAAUCUAGUAAAGUAAAAAAAUAUAUGUUUUAAGUAUCAUAAUUUAUCCUCGAAAUGCAAAUCUGGUAUAUCGAUAAAUACAACUAUGUAUUCAGGCAUUGACGAAUCAAUAUCACAACAAAGCAUAUGAUGGCUACUUUCAUGAAGCAAGAAAAAUACAGAACUAUGGAAUCUAGGAAAGUCUAAACUAAACAAGUACGAACUGCAUCAUCCUUGAUGCUAAAAUAAAUGACAGUCUUAUCUACUAAAGUACGCAAUCCAUCUUGGAACAUCACACCAUACUAUCUGCCACAAAUGUAACUUAGACAAAAUGGUCAGCUAAGUAGAUCCCAUAGAGAUAAAUCAAGAGUCAUGAGAUUUGAAUGUUCACCAAAAGGAUAAGAUACGAUAGUACUCUUCUCAGCGAAAAGGCAGAUAGCAUUAACACCUGCCCCACUGUCGAUUACAUCCUUGCUGCAUGCACAGAAUAGCAAGGAACCAACAGGAGCAUCUCAUGGGCGUUUACUUAAUAAAAUAAACAAGUACUAGUUGCUUCACUAACUAGCAGAUAUCACGAAUUCUACACUGCUAGUGCUCCCAUGGUGAGAAAAGAAGGAAAUAUCCAUCAGUGCUACUCUGUCGUUGGCUGUAACAUGCAAGUAUCAGGAAAGGAAGUGGCCACGUUUGCUGCAUGAGGUUCAAUCCAAGAAAAUUUGAGAGCAAUCACUUGGAAAGAAAAGAAAAACAGAGCAAGAGGGUCAACCUUGUUCUUUGGGGAAUCAUGGUGCGUGGGGCGGACGACCUCGCUGUCGAACUCGUCCAGCUCGUCGGGCUCGAGCGUGGGGUCCCGUUCGUCCUUCCAUGGAACUUGAGAGGCAGAGAGCUUCUGUUGAUCUGAAUCGACUCAAAAAA